GGGGAUCCUGAUCCAGCCAUCCCGCGUGUAUGAUGAAGGCCUUCGGGUUGUAAGUACUUUUGGCAGAGAAGAAAGGUACCCCCUAAUACGGGAUGCUGCUGACGGUUUCUGCAGAAUAAGCACCGGCUAACUACGUGCCAGCAGCCGCGGUAAUACGUAGGGUGCAAGCGUUAAUCGGAAUUACUGGGCGUAAAGCGUGUGUAGGCGGUUCGGAAAGAAAGAUGUGAAAUCCCAGGGCUCAACCUUGGAACUGCAUUUUUAACUGCCGAGCUAGAGUAUGUCAGAGGGGGGUAGAAUUCCACGUGUAGCAGUGAAAUGCGUAGAUUGUGGAGGAAUACCGAUGGCGAAGGCAGCCCCCUGGGAUAAUACUGACGCUCAACACGAAAGCGUGGGGAGCAAACAGGAUUAGAUACCCUGGUAGUCCACGCCCUAAACGAUGUCAACUAGCUUUUGGGGCCGUUAGGCCUUAUUAGCGCAGCUCACGCGUGAAGUUGACCGCCUGGGGAGUACGGUCGCACGAUUAAUACUCAUAGGAAUUGACGGGGACCCGCACAAGCGGUGGAUGAUGUGUAUUAUUUCGAUGCAACGCGCAAACCUUACCUACCCUUGACAUGUCUGGAAAGCCGAAGAGAUUUGGGCGUGCUCGCAAGAGAACCGGAACACACGUGCUGCAUGGCCUUUGGAAAGCA
rnacentral:rRNA from 1 species